AACUUGUGAUGUGGAACUGCAUGGACAUAGUCAUUGAAACACUCGUAGGCUUCUACAAUUGUCUCAGUAGGAUACUGAGAAAAUGUAGCAAUCUUGUUCCUCAGAUU
rnacentral:snoRNA from 1 species